CAGCAGCCGCGGGAAUACGGAGGGUGCAAGCGUUAAUCGGAAUUACUGGGCGUAAAGCGUGCGUAGGCGGUUUGUUAAGUCUGUUGUGAAAUCCCCGGGCUCAACCUGGGAAUGGCAAUGGAUACUGGCAAGCUAGAGUGUGUCAGAGGAUGGUGGAAUUCCCGGUGUAGCGGUGAAAUGCGUAGAGAUCGGAAGGAACAUCUGUGGCGAAGGCGACUAUCUGGGCCAACACUGACACUGAGACACGAAAGCGUGGGGAGCAAACAGGAUUAGAUACCCGCGUAGUCCCUGUCUCUUAUAC
rnacentral:rRNA from 1 species